rnacentral:rRNA from 1 species
GACGAACGCUGGCGGCGUGCUUAACACAUGCAAGUCGAGCGAUGAAGCACCUUCGGGUGUGAAUUAGCGGCGAACGGGUGAGGAACACGUGAGAAAUCUGCCUUCAACACUGGGAUAACUCCGGGAAACCGGGGCUAAUACCGGAUAUGAAACCUGCGGGCAUCCGCGGGUUUGGAAAGUUUUUCGGUUGAAGAUGAUCUCGCGGCCUAUCAGCUUGUUGGUGAGGUAAUGGCUCACCAAGGCGACGACGGGUAGCCGGCCUGAGAGGGCGACCGGCCACACUGGGACUGAGACACGGCCCAGACUCCUACGGGAGGCAGCAGUGGGGAAUAUUGGGCAAUGGAGGAAACUCUGACCCAGCGACGCCGCGUGCGGGAUGAAGGCCUUCGGUUGUAACCGCUUCAGCAGGGAAGAAGCGAAAGUGACGGUACCUGCAGAAGAAGCACCGGCGUAACUAUGUG